UACAGAGGUCUCAAGCGUUGUUCGGAUUCAUUGGGCGUAAAGGGCGCGUAGGCGGCGGGGUAAGUCUGGUGUGAAAUCUCGGAGCUCAACUCCGAAAUUGCACUGGAUACUGCUCUGCUUGAGGGUUGGAGAGGAGAUCGGAAUUCACGGUGUAGCAGUGAAAUGCGUAGAUAUCGUGAGGAAGACCAGUGGCGAAGGCGGCUACCUGGACCGGUUCUGACACUGAGGAGCGAAAGCGUGGGGAGCGAUCCGG
rnacentral:rRNA from 1 species